AGAAUACGUACAAUACAGGAACAAACAAAAAAAACCCUUCUAUAUCUUCGAUCAAUCGAUAGAAAAUAGACAUAUCAACGUGCCCAAAAAAUGAUAUUUCGAAAAAAUUAAUGAACGUCUCGGAAGCCCAAGAAAACAGAACAAAUAGUACAUUUGGAGAAUUCUUCAGUCUGAUUACUUCUUCUCGGAUCCUUUGAGGUUAAGGUUGAACCAUUUUCUCUUCGCGUAUUUGUCCUUGGAGUCUGAACUGCUAUCGUCCCCUGGGCUAUCGGGUUUUGAGUCAUCACCAGAAGGUUUACUGCUACUUCCGUUACUGAAAUGGCCACUCCCACUGCCACUUAACGUAGCAACUGUCCUUGUAACGGUGAAAGAAGAGUGUAUGGUGUCUCUCUGUUUGAGCAGUUCUUCGACAGACUGCUUCUCCUGGCUAUAUCUAUUGGUUACUUCCUGGAACCGCGCUAAUGCCUUUCUAUAUUCUGUUUCAAACUGUCGAAGCUCAUUUCUCUUCCUCAAUAUCUGAGCCUCGAUAUCCUGGAGAUUAUGAGUUGUAUCCUCGUAUGUCUUGGCACACAGAGCCUCAAUAGUAUAACUAGCAGGCUUAAAGAAAUUAUCUCCAUAA
rnacentral:misc_RNA from 1 species